GACGAACGCUGGCGGCGUGCUUAACACAUGCAAGUCGAACGAUGAAGAAAAGAAUCGAAGCUUCGGCCGAAAUUCAUUUCGGAUUAGUGGCAGACGGGUGAGUAACGCGUGAGCAACCUACCUCUUACAAAGGGAUAGCCUCGGGAAACCGGGAUUAAUACCAUAUAACUUUGCGACGAAGCAUUUCGAUGCAAUUAAAGCUACGGCGGUAAGAGAUGGGCUCGCGUCUCAUUAACCGGAUGGUGAGGUAACGGCUCACCAUAGUGACGAUGGGUAACCGGCCUGGGAGGGUGAACGGUCACACUGGAACUGAGACACGGUCCAGACUCCUACGGGAGGCAGCAGUGGGGAAUAUUGCACAAUGGAGGGAACUCUGAUGCAGCGACGCCGCGUGAGUGAUGAAGGGAUUCGUUUCGUAAAGCUCUAUUCUAUGGGAAGAAAAGGACUGUACCAAAGGAGAAAGCUCCGGCUAAAUACGUG
rnacentral:rRNA from 1 species